AUUUUGACUAUGGGCCAGAAGCAUAACAUAGAAUAGUACUGGAAGACCUGGAGGUUUACAAAGAUUUCCAGGGAGAAUAUAUUUUUGAGCAUGGGAAAGGAGCAAGGCAAAAGAGUUUCUGCAAACAACAUCAUUUGCAAUUGAAUAGUUAUUAACAGCCACAGAUCAGCCGGGACAGCUACAUACAGGUAGUUCUCUACCUCAAGUAAGUGUUUCAGUAGCAUCUCACCUGAAUGUAUUGAUCCACAUAUUAAAUUGUGUGUAUUGAUUUG
rnacentral:lncRNA from 11 species